rnacentral:rRNA from 1 species
AUGAACGCUGGCGGCGUGCCUAAUACAUGCAAGUCGAGCGAACAGACGAGGAGCUUGCUCCUCUGACGUUAGCGGCGGACGGGUGAGUAACACGUGGAUAACCUACCUAUAAGAAUGGGAUAACUUCGGGAAACCGGAGAUAAUACCGGAUAAUAUAUUGAACCGCAUGGUUCAAUAGUGAAAGACGGUUUUGCUGUCACUUAUAGAUGGAUCCGCGCCGCAUUAGCUAGUUGGUAAGGUAACGGCUUACCAAGGCAACGAUGCGUAGCCGACCUGAGAGGGUGAUCGGCCACACUGGAACUGAGACACGGUCCAGACUCCUACGGGAGGCAGCAGUAGGGAAUCUUCCGCAAUGGGCGAAAGCCUGACGGAGCAACGCCGCGUGAGUGAUGAAGGUCUUCGGAUCGUAAAACUCUGUUAUUAGGGAAGAACAAAUGUGUAAGUAACUAUGCACGUCUUGACGGUACCUAAUCAGAAAGCCACGGCUAACUACGUG